UCUUUGUCACCUGACAGCGAAAAGUUUCCUUAUGCUGAAUAUUCAAAUUCCGUCUUUAAUUUCCAUUCUUUCUACAGCUUUUUCCAGCCAACACCUUUUCUUGGAUAUUAUGAGUUCCCUCAGUUUUAUUCUAUUCCGCAAGUGGGAUUUUCUGAUAUUCAAGGACAAUACGAAUUUUAUAGGACGUGCUGGAAAAGUCAAGCUAACACAUCGUACAUUUGGCAGAAUUUAUUUCAAAAAUUUUUUUCUCAAUAUCUGAUACAUCAAAACAGCAUAUGGGCCUUAAUUCCUGUUACAGAACAUCCUAUCGGAAAUAUUAAGUCAUUUACUGAUAGUGCCAAAGUACGAUUUUGUUGCAAAUCGUGCAACCAUGGCUGGACAUCAAUGAAGGGCAGAGUUUGUUUCUGGUUUUACUUGGAGAGAGAAAACUUUGCUGGCGUAGUCUACUUUAAAUUAUAUGGCCAGCAAUGCAUCAAAUGUGUUAAAGGGGCUUUUCAGAAUCCAAUGUGGUACCCGGAAG